CGCCUGGGGAGUACGGUCGCAAGAUUAAAACUCAAAUGAAUUGACGGGGGCCCGCACAAGCGGUGGAGCAUGUGGUUUAAUUCGAUGCAACGCGAAGAACCUUACCUACUCUUGACAUCCAGAGAACCUUUUAGAGAUAGAAGGGUGCCUUCGGGAACUCUGAGACAGGGGCUGCAUGGCUGUCGUCAGCUCGUGUUGUGAAAUGUUGGGUUAAGUCCCGCAACGAGCGCAACCCUUAUCCUUGUUUGCCAGCACUUCGGGUGGGAACUCCAGGGAGACUGCCGGUGAUAAACCGGAGGAAGGUGGGGACGACGUCAAGUCAUCAUGGCCCUUACGAGUAGGGCUACACACGUGCUACAAUGGCAUAUACAGAGGGCUGCCAACUCGCGAGAGUGAGCGAAUCCCAUAAAGUAUGUCGUAGUCCGGAUUGGAGUCUGCAACUCGACUCCAUGAAGUCGGAAUCGCUAGUAAUCGUGGAUCAGAAUGCCACGGUGAAUACGUUCCCGGGCCUUGAACACACCGCCCGUC
rnacentral:rRNA from 1 species